rnacentral:rRNA from 1 species
CAGUCGCCACGGUAUACAGAGGGUGCGAGCGUUAAUCGGAUUUACUGGGCGUAAAGCGUGCGUAGGCGGCUUCUUAAGUCGGAUGUGAAAUCCCUGAGCUUAACUUAGGAAUUGCAUUCGAUACUGGGAAGCUAGAGUAUGGGAGAGGAUGGUAGAAUUCCAGGUGUAGCGGUGAAAUGCGUAGAGAUCUGGAGGAAUACCGAUGGCGAAGGCAGCCAUCUGGCCUAAUACUGACGCUGAGGUACGAAAGCAUGGGGAGCAAACAGGAUUAGAUACCCCAGUAGUCCCUGUCUCUUAUACA